UCCAUCAGCUAAUGGGCUUUUUAAAUUAUUAAUUUUAUGCAGAACUGAAACUGCAUAAGUGAUGGAGCCCCCAUAGAAGCAUUAAGUGCAAUUUAAUGUAGUUGUUUUUGUUUGUAUAAGGUACUUGUGUAUCACCGAAGGUACAUAAGGAACUUGUAUAUCAUUAAUGACUUGCAAGUGCUAAGAGUGAACAAAUUCAGACAAGCGUCAGUAGAGAUUGCACCUCUAUUGGCGUUUU
rnacentral:sRNA from 12 species